AUUGAACGCUGGCGGCAUGCCUUACACAUGCAAGUCGAACGGUAACAGGUCUUCGGAUGCUGACGAGUGGCGAACGGGUGAGUAAUGCAUCGGAACGUGCCCAGUAGUGGGGGAUAGCCCGGCGAAAGCCGGAUUAAUACCGCAUACGACCUGAGGGUGAAAGGGGGGGAUCGCAAGACCUCUCGCUAUUGGAGCGGCCGAUGUCAGAUUAGCUAGUUGGUGGGGUAAAGGCCUACCAAGGCAACGAUCUGUAGUUGGUCUGAGAGGACGACCAGCCACACUGGGACUGAGACACGGCCCAGACUCCUACGGGAGGCAGCAGUGGGGAAUUUUGGACAAUGGGCGCAAGCCUGAUCCAGCAAUGCCGCGUGCAGGAAGAAGGCCUUCGGGUUGUAAACUGCUUUUGUCAGGGAAGAAAUCUUCUGGGUUAAUACCUCGGGAGGAUGACGGUACCUGAAGAA
rnacentral:rRNA from 1 species